rnacentral:rRNA from 1 species
CCCUUAGAUGUCCUGGGCUGCACGCGCGCUACACUGAUGUGUCCAGUAAGCACCUAACCUCUUCCGAAAGGAACGGGUAACCUUUGCAAAGCACAUCGUGAUGGGGAUAGAUUAUUGCAAUUAUUAGUCUUGAACGAGGAAUUCCUAGUAAGCGCAAGUCAUCAGCUUGUGUUGAUUACGUCCCUGCCCUUUGUACACACCGCCCGUCGCUCCUACCGAUUGAAUGUUCCGGUGAGCUCUUCGGACUGCGCGGUCUGCAGUUUCUGCGUUCCGUGCGGAAAGUUGCGCAAACCUUAACAUUUAGAGGAAGGAGAAGUCGUAACA